rnacentral:rRNA from 1 species
UACGGAGGAUGUAAGCGUUAUCCGGAUUCAUUGGGUUUAAAGGGUGCGCAGGUGGGCUUGUAAGUCAGUGGUGAAAUACUGCCGCUUAACGGUAGAAUUGCCAUUGAUACUGUGAGUCUUGAGUAUGGUUGAGGUAGGUGGAAUGUGCAGUGUAGCGGUGAAAUGCAUAGAUAUUGCACAGAACUCUGAUUGCGAAGGCAGCUUACUAAGCCAUUAUUGACGCUGAGGCACGAAAGCGUGGGUAGCGAACAGGAUUAGAUACCCUGGUAGUCCACGCCGUAAACGAUGUUCACUCGCUGUUUGCGAUACACAGCAAGCGGCUGAGCGAAAGCAUUAAGUAAUCCACCUGGGGAGUACGUUCGCAAGAAUGAA